GUGGGGAAUAUUGGACAAUGGGCGAAAGCCUGAUCCAGCAAUGCCGCGUGAGUGAUGAAGGCCUUAGGGUUGUAAAGCUCUUUUACCCGGGAUGAUAAUGACAGUACCGGGAGAAUAAGCUCCGGCUAACUCCGUGCCAGCAGCCGCGGUAAUACGGAGGGAGCUAGCGUUGUUCGGAAUUACUGGGCGUAAAGCGCACGUAGGCGGCUUUGUAAGUUAGAGGUGAAAGCCUGGAGCUUAACUCCAGAACUGCCUUUAAGACUGCAUCGCUUGAAUCCAGGAGAGGUGAGUGGAAUUCCGAGUGUAGAGGUGAAAUUCGUAGAUAUUCGGAAGAACACCAGUGGCGAAGGCGGCUCACUGGACUGGUAUUGACGCUGAGGUACGAAAGCGUGGGGAGCAAACAGGAUUAGAAACCCGGGUAGUCC
rnacentral:rRNA from 1 species